rnacentral:sRNA from 1 species
ACGCCGAAAGGAGGUGGUCCGAACAAUGGUUGAUCAUAGUUGGGCUAGCGAGGUGGCUGUCCGCUAGGACGCCGUCGCUCCGGACUCUGUCCGGACGUCUGGCGACGUUCGGCGAAUCCACGACAAUCACCGGAACCCCGGGCUGCCAGAGGGCGGGUUAACCCUUAUCCCGCCUUUGGUCCAUCUGGCCCUCCCGCACGGCGGGAGGAGCAGGCCCGGGGUUCUUCCCUU